rnacentral:tRNA from 1 species
GCUCAGUUGGUUAAGCGUCUGACUCUUGAUUUCAGCUCAGGUCGUGAUCUCACAGUUUGUGGGUUCAAGCCUCUCAUUGAGCU